rnacentral:rRNA from 1 species
GCGUGGAUAACCUGCCUUACACUGGGGGAUAACACUUAGAAAUAGGUGCUAAUACCGCAUAAGCGCACAGAGCCGCAUGGCUCAGUGUGAAAAACUCCGGUGGUGUAAGAUGGAUCCGCGUCUGAUUAGCUGGUUGGCGGGGUAGAAGCCCACCAAGGCGACGAUCAGUAGCCGGCCUGAGAGGGUGAACGGCCACAUUGGGACUGAGACACGGCCCAAACUCCUACGGGAGGCAGCAGUGGGGAAUAUUGCACAAUGGGGGAAACCCUGAUGCAGCAACGCCGCGUGAGUGAAGAAGUCAUUCGUGAUGUAAAGCUCUAUCAGCAGGGAAGAAAAUGACGGUACCUGAGUAAGAAGCCCCGGCUAACUACGUGCCAGCAGCCGCGGUAAUACGUAGGGGGCAAGCGUUAUCCGGAUUUACUGGGUGUAAAGGGAGCGUAGACGGCCAGACAAGUCUGAAGUGAAAAUCCAGCGCUUAACGUUGGAAGUGCUUUGGAAACUGCCGGGCUAGAGUGCAGGAGGGGCAGGCGGAAUUCCUAGUGUAGCGGUGAAAUGCGUAGAUAUUAGGAGGAACACCAGUGGCGAAGGCGGCCUGCUGGACUGCAACUGACGUUGAGGCUCGAAGGCGUGGGGAGCAAACAGGAUUAGAUACCCUGGUAGUCCACGCGGUAAACGAUGAUUACUAGGUGUCGGGGGGCUAGAGCCCUUCGGUGCCGUCGCAAACGCAAUAAGUAAUCCACCUGGGGAGUACGUUCGCAAGAAUGAAACU